rnacentral:rRNA from 1 species
AUUGAACGCUGGCGGCAGGCCUAAAACAUGCACGUCGAGCGAGCGGCGGACGGGUGAGUAAUGUAUGGGGAACUGCCCGAUAGAGGGGGAUAACUACUGGAAACGGUGGCUAAUACCGCAUACUAUCAGAUGAACCCAGAUGGGAUUAGCUAGUAGGUGGGGUAAAGGCUCACCUAGGCGCCGAUCUCUCGCUGGUCUGAGAGGAUGAACAGCCACACGGGGACUGAGACACGGCCCAGACUCCUACGGUAGGCAGCAGGGGGGAAUAUUGCACAAUGGGCGCAAGCCUGAUGCAGCCAUGCCGCGUGUAUGAAGAAGGCCUUAGGGUUGUAAAGUACUUUCAGCGGGGAGGCGUUACCCGCAGAAGAAGCACCGGCUAACUCCGUGCCAGCAGCCGCGGUAAUAC